rnacentral:SRP_RNA from 1 species
UGCUGGUCCUCUCGCAACGAUAAGCCGUGAACCUGGUCAGGCCCGGAAGGGAGCAGCCACAGCGGUGGUUUCGUGUGCCGGGAUGUGGCUGGUGGAG